UACGUAGGGUGCGAGCGUUAAUCGGAAUUACUGGGCGUAAAGCGUGCGCAGGCGGUGAGCUGUGUCCGAUGUGAAAGCCCCGGGCUUAACCUGGGAAUGGCAGUGGAAACUGGCGGGCUUGAGUGUGGCAGAGGGGGGUGGAAUUCCGCGUGUAGCAGUGAAAUGCGUAGAGAUGCGGAGGAACACCGAUGGCGAAGGCAGCCCCCUGGGCUGACACUGACGCUGAGGCACGAAAGCGUGGGGAGCAAACAGG
rnacentral:rRNA from 1 species